AACGCACCUUGCGCUCUUUGGUAUUCCGAAGAGCAUGCCUGUUUGAGUGUCAUGGAAUUCUCAAAAACAUAAAUAAAAGAAAAGCUUUUACCGGCAGAUUGUUUUGUUUUGUUUUUGGACUUGGAGGUUGUGUCGGCUACUAGCUUUAGUAAGACUCCUCUGAAACGCAUUAGUAUGAACCUUACGGAUCACUUAUCAGUGUGAUAAUUGUCUACGCCGUGUGCUGUGAAGCUUUCAAACACUUUGUUGUGUUGAGGGAUUUGCUUCUAAUCGUCCUCCAAUGGACAAUUUUUGACCUCUGACCUCAAAUCAGGUAGGAUUACCCGCUGAACUUAA
rnacentral:rRNA from 1 species